CUUGAACCCACUUCCUCUGGUUGGGGACUUCCCCAUCUUAUGAUUCUUGGAAGGUGGCAGAGCCCAUCUCUCUCUACAGACAAGAGUGCCACAUUCACUUUUCUCCAAAGCUAGGAUUCUGGAGUACAACCUAAUCAAGUCACCCUAGACUUUGUCUUAGGAGUUACAGGCAAAGAAUUGAGCACUCAGAAAGUCUUUCUCAGGAAGUGUUAGCAGCUGCAGCAAGACAGAGCUCCCUGCAGGGUGACAGCAGUGAAAACUGGAGACUGGAUUGCUCUGAGGUGCUACAGUGGGCUCCUCACCAGACAAGUUCUACAGCGUGGUUUAAGUGUUGUUCCUGGCUAUAAACCUGCUUCUCCAGCCCACCUACUGAUUCUGGAAGCUGCCCAGUAUCCUUUUAAUGCAUUCCUUUUCUGCCUAAAUCAUCCAGAUUCCAAUUCUGUUGCAUACAAUCAAGGUUCUAGACUGCUGCACAGCUAUACCUCCUUUAAGAAUUUGGCUUACUUCUGAAAAGUUCUGCAGGACUUUGUCCCCAGGGACAGUUUUUUUUUUGUUGUUUUUUUUUUUUUUUUAACAUCGAAGGGGAUUCUUUGCAAAUGUCCAUUCUGUUAUGAAUACUAAACAUAGAGACUGUAUGGCUACCCACUGUUUUCCUGCAGUAUCUAUUUUAGCACCCGUGAGCAUGUAUGUUCUGAGCAAUGCUGGAAAGCCCCUUUCAAAGAGUCCUUGCACUGGUAAAAGACUUUGUAAUGAUUCUUGAAAUCAAUAGAUUCAUGAUGUUCUUUAUAUAGUAGACUUGAUCUCUGUGAACGUAUUAUUUUGAAAUGAGGAUUUAAAUUGUUCUUUGGCAGGAACUGAAUAUUCAAAUGUAAUGAAUUUAAUUGAUUAUGAGUGUUUCUUUUGAGAUGAUGCAAUAAGUGCUUGGUAUUGGCUGCUCCAGAGUGUGCUGGCAGAAAGGCUUUCAAAGUUGAGUUUGGUACAAAUGAAAUCUCACUAGAACUACUUUAAAGGUCCUAUCUCCAAAUAUAGUUUUAUUUUGAGGUAUUGGGUUUAGGGUCUCAGCAUAUGAAGUUUGGAAGGAUAUAAUUCAGCCCAUAACUAGGGAAGUCAUAGUUCCUCUAAUAUUCUUCAAGCCUUUUAAAACUUAACCUAUCAGGUUUAACACAUGGGGUGUAGCUGUAGCUGCUUGGUUCAGGAGUAGAAGACUGGAGUUUAACAGGGCAGCCCAAGUUCCAUCUUCAUGAGAUUCUUCUCCCAAUACCAAUUACUGUUCCUCUUAGGACCAUUGUUGGGUAAUUCUGUUUUGCCUCCAGAAAGCUCCAAAGUGAAUCAUAAUAGGAAAUUAAUUAAAUUAACUCCAAGUUCCUUGCUAAAUCUCAGGCUAUAAAGUCUAUCCCCAUGGUAUUUCUCAUGCUAAAUUAUGCCUGGCCACAUUAUCCAAAUAGAGUUCAGCAGAAGUUGCGUGUUCAGCCCAAAUGAUAGCAUACCAUGUUCCAAAUAAUAUAUAAGUGUCCAAAAUUUGAGCAAUAUGAAAUCUCUCCAAUUGUGAGAUUUUUAGGAGAAAGAUUAACUCCAAAAUUCCAGAGAAAUUUAAGUUCAAAAUUAUUUUCUCCCCAGUUCUGUUUCUGCUCAGUCUCAGGAGGAUUUUACUCUGAGAUGUGGGGAGAGUCAAAGUUCCCUUAGCAACUGCAACCUGGGCUGAUGACCACUGGAAUUGGUGAUGUUGUUGCAGGACCUCCAAGACAAAAAUAACCCAACACUAAGAUUCUCAUAUGUCCCACUUUCUAAGAGUUCAAAAAGUUAGUUGGGCACAUAAUCUUUCCCCAGUACCAGUGGCACAUGCACAGAACUUUGAAGAAAAUAAGUCCAAGAAGGAACCAGACAAAUCCAAUAUGUAGAACAUUUUGCAGAACAAUUAGCCUGGUAUCUUUGGCAAGUCAGUAUCAUUAAAAAUGGUGUCUGUACUAGAUUAAAAGAAAUUUAAAGGACAUAAGAGAUAGAUACAAUGCCUGGUCUGGGUUGGGUACUGAUUUGUAUGAAACUGUGAGAGACAUUUUUAGGUCAUUUGGAGAAAUAUGAAUAGAAGCUGGGUGUUAGACAAGUGGAAAUUUUACUGAAAUAGCAAAAUGAAGGUUGAUGACUAAAAAAAAAUCAGGCUGAAGAACAUUGUGCAUAGUAUGUUUUCCAUUUGGUAAUAAAAUAAAAGCAUGCAGACACAAACACGCACACACUCUAAAUUAUGCACUAAGGUCUUACAGGGUUGAUCUCUGGGUGAUGGAAAUUUUGUUUAUUCAGUUAUGUAUUGUAUUUGUGCUUGUCUAUAUAUUCUAAUUUUCUACAAUGAAUAUGUAUUGCUCUUGUGUUAAUAAAAGGUUAUUUAAAAAAUUCUUAUUAGUCACCAACAAACCUCACUCCCUGAAGCAGUUAUUCCAAACAAAAUUAUAUUACUAGAAACUAGUAUAAAAUAUAGUCCAGACCCGUGGUGCUGUCAGAAAGC
rnacentral:lncRNA from 1 species